UACAGAGACCUCAAGCGUUAUCCGGAAUCAUUGGGCGUAAAGCGUACCGAUAGGUGGUUAUGAAAGUCAGAAGUGAAAUCUCAAGGCUCAACUUUGAGACUGUCUUUUGAAACUUCAUGACUAGAGGAGCAAAGAGGAAGCUAGAACGAACGGUGUAGUAGUGAAAUGCGUUGAUAUCGUUCGGAAUACCAAUAGCGAAGGCAGGCUUCUGGGUGCUACCUGACACUGCUAGGACGAAAGCGUGGGGAGCGAAUGGG
rnacentral:rRNA from 1 species